AUGCAGUUCACUUCGUCGAUUUGUGGACCCGCAAAAAACAGUGUCCGCGUUUCGGCACGUCGUCUAGAUGAGUCUGUUUAUGCUCCUGUGCUUAAGAGGAUGCCAAAUGGCAACACUGUUGAAGGUGGAAGCCGUGCUGAUUCUGAUACAAAUACUGAUGGUCUCGCCGAUCAGUUUGCUAUCAUAGACACCGAUCAUAAUAACAAGCAUCGUCCCGUAUCAGCUGAGCAUGGCAAUGCGACAACAACCCCUAACACGGCAAGCUCGGCCAUUGUGCCUGUACAUGUUGUGUUAGAUACGUCAGGUCAAUCAGCAGUUGCAGCGCCCGGUUCCUCGACAGAACGCACAAUAUUUCCAGCAAGUGGCGAGCAAUUGCAGUCUGCUGGGCCUUCUUCUAAACCGUAUACUGCACAAAUUACGGAUGGGAUGCAGGUUACUCCAAACACCACCAUUGGAAGGAACGGGGGUUCGCCGUCGACGAUGAAGAAGGACGAUCGGAGUGCCAAUAAGUUUAACGUGGAGCCUCCCAGCAAUGGGCAAGUGAAGCGAGCCGGAGAAGUCACAUUGAAGAUGGACAUGAGUUUGCUUAAUUGCCGCGUCUGCUCCCGCCCCAUCAAGCCCCCUGUCUUCCAGUGCAAUGCCGGGCAUGUAGCUUGCGGCAGAUGCCUCGUCGAGCUCCCCGGCGAACAAUGCCAGACGUGCGAGCACGGCGGUGGCUUUAGCCGCUGCCCCACGAUAGAUGCUGUCGUCUCAUCCUUGACGGUCAUGUGCGGCCACGAUGGCUGCGGGAGCGACGUCCCCUACAACGAGCUCGACGACCACCAGAGCGCGUGCCAGUACGCGCCCUGCUUCUGCAUGGAGCCUGGCUGUGGCUUCUUCGGUGCACCGCUGGCGCUCCUCAGCCACAUGGGUGCCCUGCAUGCAAUGCCAGUGCACAAGGUCCACUACGGCAAAGUUCACCGGUUCCGGGUGUUGGAGCCGGGGUGCCUGCUCCAUGGGCAAGGGGACGACAGCGUGUUCCUCCUGGCCGUUGGCGCCAUCGGCAUGGCCACAGUCGUGUCUGUGGUGUGCAUCAGAGCUGGAGUGUCAUCAUGGCCGCAGUACGCGGUGAAGCUUCGGGCAAAUUGUCCGCCACCACCGAGCAGCAUAGAAGGCAGCAUUCUGUUGGACAUGAAGCCGGUGACGAGCAGCACUAGGCCCGGCGAGGUCGCUCUGAUGGAGCUGCCGUCUUUCUUGGGGGUGCCGCCUACGUAUCUGGUUGGUUCUGGGGCGUCCAAGGAGGUGUCUCUCGACGUUCACAUUGACAGGAUGUGA
rnacentral:rRNA from 1 species